rnacentral:tRNA from 1 species
GCCCUUGUAGCCCAACCGGCAGAGGCAACGGGUUCAGGACCCGUCCAGUGUGCGUUCGAAUCGCACCAAGGGCA